rnacentral:rRNA from 1 species
AGCGAACGCUGGCGGCAGGCUUAACACAUGCAAGUCGAACGGGCACUUCGGUGUCAGUGGCAGACGGGUGAGUAACACGUGGGAACGUACCUUUUGGUUCGGAACAACUGAGGGAAACUUCAGCUAAUACCGGAUAAGCCCUUACGGGGAAAGAUUUAUCGCCGAAAGAUCGGCCCGCGUCUGAUUAGCUAGUUGGUAGGGUAAUGGCCUAACAAGGCGACGAUCAGUAGCUGGUCUGAGAGGAUGAUCAGCCACAAUGGGACUGAGACACGGCCCAAACUCCUACGGGAGGCAGCAGUGGGGAAUAUUGGACAAUGGGGGCAACCCUGAUCCAGCCAUGCCGCGUGAGUGAUGAAGGCCCUAGGGUUGUAAAGCUCUUUUGUGCGGGAAGAUAAUGACGGUACCGCAAGAAUAAGCCCCGGCUAACUUCGUGCCAGCCGCCGCCGUAA